rnacentral:rRNA from 1 species
UACGUAGGGGGCUAGCGUUGCUCGGAAUCAUUGGGCGUAAAGCGCACGUAGGCGGCUUGUUGCGUCAGCUGUGAAAACCCGCAGCUCAACUGUGGGCUUGCAGCUGAUACGGGCAGGCUUGAGUUCGGUAGGGGAGACUGGAAUUCCAGGUGUAGCGGUGAAAUGCGCAGAUAUCAGGAGGAACACCGGUGGCGAAGGCGGGUCUCUGGGCCGUUACUGACGCUGAGGAGCGAAAGCGUGGGGAGCGAACAGG